rnacentral:lncRNA from 1 species
GAUCCAAAGGACUCGGAUCCGACAAGAUCCGAACCGAAUCUGAUCCGAAGAUCCAAAUUCCCAUGCCUACUACUCAUCAAUAAAUUUUUUUAACAACUCUUUUUAUUCUAGGGCUUUUUGCAAAAUUGACCUACAACUCAAAGUCAAACACAAAACUAACCUCCUUUUUUUUUGGAAAUUAGUUUUCCCUAUUCACCCCACAAGUUCAUAUAAUUCACGAAAACGCCAUCAAUUUUUUUUCUUUUCGAAAAUGACAUUUUUACUCUCUCACCCUCAUCAUCUUCAAGUAAUUACAAGACUGUCAUUGUCAUCAAUACCCCAACCACCAUGAAC